rnacentral:rRNA from 1 species
GGGAGCGAUCAUACCAGCACUAAUGCAUUGGAUCCCAUCAGAACGCUGCAGUCAAGCAUGCUUGGGCGAGAGUAGUACUAGGAUGGGUGACCUCCUGAUCAGUCUACAUGUUGCACCCC